rnacentral:lncRNA from 1 species
UGUAUUAAGGAAAAAACUAAAUCAAUUAGUAAAAAAAAUAAGUCAUAAUAACAAUGAGAAAAAUCUAUUGUCUAUUCACCUCCAAAAUUAUUUGCUCUAUCUAAUUAAUAAUUAUUGUCUCUAUUGUACUCCACUCAGUUUACUGCAGAUCCUAAUAAUUCCAUUUGUGAGAUGUCGUCAAGAAAGCCUUCUGCUGACUUGUCACUUAGGCCGCAACAAUGAAUAAUUUCUCGGCGGAAAUGAAGUCUAUGGGUGCCUCUGAAGUUCUGCAGGUGCCAGCCACUUCCAUGACUGAAUUGGAUAAUAUUGCCAAGGAUCCAAACCUGAUUCAAAAGUUACAACCCAGCCUUACAUCGGAUGCAACUCGAAGAUGACUGUGAGGGGAGUGCUGCAGCGCUGCAAGACACACGAUUUGUCACUUCACUUCAGCUUUACGGGUUUAGGAGAGAGAAGAACUGCCUCAAAGCAAGCAUUUGGGAGUCUCCUACUAUAUACCGCGAAUUCUAGGUGAUGCCGCCGCAUUGCAGAUGAAGGAUACGAGGGAAGUGCUCGUAAACCACAUCCAGGCCGCACUCAAUCCGAGGUGCGCGUGAUUGGGACGGAGGAAGAAAGUUGCGGCUUGAUGCUACUGCAUCUCUGUCCUGUGUCGGUUCAUCAUCUCUCAGUGUUACCGUAUCAACUGCAGGUGUAAUUUCAUGUGCAUCACCUUCUGGAUCAAACGGCGGUCCAGGUAGUCCUGUCUUCCUACAAUCAAGCGUUUCAAUCCUAAUUUAAUGUCGUGCCAUUAUAAGGUAGCUCAUUGACUGAAGUAGACUAAAUUGAACCUAGGUAAAACUGGAAUAUAAACCGGGAAUGGAACUGCAGCUGUAUAGGUAAUAAUAUAGCAAUAAGUAAUAGGAGAAUAAGGAGUAAUACUCCUAUAAUGUAAUAUGUAUUAAUAAGUGCACAGCUGCCGUACACUUAUUACUUCUAUAUCAUUACGGUGUAUUACUUGUUCAACUGUCGACUAACCUGUCGAAAGUAAAGUAGUAAAAAAUC